UAGGGAAUCUUCGGCAAUGGGGGCAACCCUGACCGAGCAACGCCGCGUGAGUGAAGAAGGUUGUUUUAUCGUAAAGCUCUGUGUGAAGAGAAGUACGAGUGUGAGAGUGGAAAGUUCACACAGUGACGGUAACUUACCAGAAAGUGCAGGCUAACUACGUGCCAGCAGCCGCGGUAAUACGUAGGUCCCGAGCGUUGUCCGGAUUUAUUGGGCGUAAAGCGAGCGCAGGCGGUUUAAUAAGUCUGAAGUUAAAGGCAGUGGCUUAACCAUUGUUCGCUUUGGAAACUGUUAAACUUGAGUGCAGAAAGGGAGAGUGGAAUUCCAUGUGUAGCGGUGAAAUGCGUAGAUAUGUGGAGGAACACCGGUGGCGAAAGCGGCUCUCUGGUCUGUAACUGACGCUGAGGCUCGAAAGCGUGGGGAGCAAACAGG
rnacentral:rRNA from 1 species